rnacentral:rRNA from 1 species
GACGAACGCUGGCGGCGUGCUUAACACAUGCAAGUCGAACGGAAAGGCCCCUUUGGGGGUACUCGAGGGGCGAACGGGUGCGUAACACGUGAGUAACCUGCCCUUGACUUCGGGAUAACUUCAGGAAACUGGGGCUAAUACCGGUUAGGAAUCCUUGCUCCAUGGUGGGGGUUGGAAAGCUUCUGCGGCUUUGGAUGGACUCGCGGCGUAUCAGCUUGUUGGUGGGGUAGUGGCUUACCAAGGCUUUGACGGGUAGCCGCCCUGAGAGGGCGACAGGCCACAUUGGGACUGAGAUACGGCACAGACGCCUACGGGAGGCAGAAGGGGGGAAGAUUGCACAAUGGGCGGCAGCCGGAUGAAGCAGCGCCGCGGGUGGGAUGACGGCUUUCGGGUUGUAGAACGCUUUCAGCAGAGGCGAAGCUUGUGGUGACGGUACCUGCAGAAGAAGCACCGGCUAACUACGUG